AACGAACGCUGGCGGCAGGCCUAACACAUGCAAGUCGAGCGAGGGAGCAAUCCCUAGCGGCGGACGGGUGAGUAACGCGUGGGAACGUGCCCCUUGGUACGGAAUAGCCCCGGGAAACUGGGAGUAAUACCGUAUGUGGUCGAGAGACGAAAGAUUUAUCGCCAAGGGAUCGGCCCGCGUUGGAUUAGGUAGUUGGUGGGGUAAUGGCCUACCAAGCCGACGAUCCAUAGCUGGUUUGAGAGGAUGAUCAGCCACACUGGGACUGAGACACGGCCCAGACUCCUACGGGAGGCAGCAGUGGGGAAUCUUAGACAAUGGCCGCAAGCCUGAUCUAGCCAUGCCGCGUGAGCGAUGAAGGCCUUAGGGUUGUAAAGCUCUUUCGUGGGGGAAGAUAAUGACUGUACCUCAAGAAGAAGCCCCGGCUAACUCCGUG
rnacentral:rRNA from 1 species